rnacentral:antisense_RNA from 1 species
GAUGCUUCACUAUUAAAAUAUUUUCCCCCCAAGUCUCAAAUAUUGAAGAAUCUCUAACCAGGCUCGAAACGCCGGUCUCAGUGACUAUUGAGUUACCCACCAAGUUACCCCGGUUAGAGCUGUUUGGGGUGGCUCACGUUAUUGCGGCAAACUUUGGAGAUGACGGCUGAGUCCUCUGGGCGAACAUGUCAAGCCGAUUGUAAAUGCUGUUAUUUCCACAUCCUUCAGGGACACCAGUCCCAACGAAGACCUUGGGCGAUUUCAAAGUGCGGGCACCUCGAUUCCCCGAAUCUGUAGUGUGGCUGGUAUCGGUGUUUCCCUGGUUUAACUAGCCUGCUUGGCACGACAAAUGAGACCCAAGUGCUUAUAGAACAUUCCAAAGAGUCAACAGAGAGAAGUGGAAAGUAUUAGAAACAUGAUUGUGUUUGCAAAGGGAGACAUAAACAUGGGGAAAUUGAGGCACAGAAGCCAAGACAUGCGCUAAAGGUCAUGCGGGCUAUGAAUGGAGCUGGAAUGUGAAUGCAGGCCAUGUGACUCCAGAGCCCAUGUUCUUGAACCCUUAGAAAGACAGCAGCAACACACCUGGUGCAGCAGCUGCUUAGUUGGAGUGGCUGACAAGGUUGGCAGAGGAUCCCGUUCCUCCCGUGGAGUGGCUGCCAUGACACUGCGUGCACUGAAGCUGCUCCUAUUUCUGAAAUAUGUAUUGUUAUUUUUUUCCCUCCAUGUUGAACAUUAUACUCUUCUGUUCUUUCGUAUUCUCUUCUUCCCUUCCAGAUGACUUCUAGGGUUUUUAUAAUUCUGUAAUUCUAAAGGAGAAAGGAUAAUAAGAAUUGUGAG